GGAGGCGGUGGCGCGGGCGGCCCGGGAGCUGGUCGCGGACACCUUGCGACCGUCUGAGGGCGCCGUGGGAGCGC
rnacentral:tRNA from 1 species